GGAGCUGGCCUACCUGAAGAAGAACCACGAGGAGGUGGGUCAGGCUGGGCCUUCUGAGUAUCUUGUCCCAGAACUGAGAGACACUAUUAUCUUGGGCUCACUGAUCAUGGCCUCAUCUCUUACGCCAUCACCAUGGCCCUGUCUUUGAUCAUACCUCUCACAGUUCCAGCAGGGCAAUGUGACCAGUACACACAUCUACUCUCUGGUGCUGGCUCCUAGACCUGCACCUCCAAACCAGGCCUCUUUGACUCAGGGCGCUUUUGAGGGGGAGUGACCUGGUCCAAGUCCAGAAUGUUUAGGUCUUGACAUGCCCCUGUCUCUGGCGUCUUCACAGGAAAUUAGUGCCCUGAGGAGCCAGGUGGGUGGCCAGGUCAGUGUGGAGGUGGAUUCCACACCAGGCAUUGACCUAGCCAAGAUCCUGAGUGAGAUGAGAAGUCAGUAUGAGGCCAUGGCAGAGAAGAACCGGAAGGAUGCUGAAGCCUGGUACCUUACUCAGAUUGAUGAGCUGAACACCCAGGUCGCUGUCCACACUACGCAGAUCCAGAUAAACAAGACUGAGGUCACGGAACUCCGACGUAAGGUCCAGGACCUUGAGAUUGAAUUGCAGUCUCAGCUCAGCAUGAAAGCUGCCCUGGAAGGCACUGUGGCAGAGAUAGAGGCCCGUUACGGAGCCCAGCUGUCACACAUCCAAGGUGUGAUCAGCAGUAUUGAAGUCCAGCUGAGUAACGUGCGUGCUGACACAGAGCGCCAGAACCAGGAGUAUCAGCAGCUCAUGGACAUCAAGUCGAGGCUGGAGCAGGAGAUCGCCACCUACCGCAGCCUGCUUGAGGGCCAGGAAGCCCACUACAACAGUCUGUCCAUCGCCAAGGCCCUCUGAGCUGAUCCUGGCCUCCUACCCUGCUACCAGUGCGACUUCCCC
rnacentral:lncRNA from 1 species